rnacentral:lncRNA from 1 species
UACCAUACAGUCACUACAGAGAUAGAAAGACUACCAUGCACCAAGCCUAGCGCAUCAUAACAACAUUAGCUCAAUCAUACAUAACAUAAAAGGAUCAUGUGCAAAGGGAUAACAAACACUAGGGCCAAGCACAAUACUAUAACUCACUAUAUAACUUGCUAUACAUCAUGUCUAUACAUUACAUAAACUCUGUACUGUACAUCAUUAUCAUGUCCACUAUUCUAUACUAUUACAUAUGCCUUUACCCUUGCUUUCUCUUUCUCUUUCUCUUCUCUGAGGCCCUGAAAAAUGGGGUUAGGGAGAGGGAUGAGCUGCUAAAGCCCAGUGAGCGGAAUCUAUAAAAAAUCACAUUUAAAACAUGCUAUCAUAUGAUGCAUCACUGCACAAACAUUUCACAUCUCGGAUUGGACAUGAUCCCAAAACUCCCUCUGUCAGUGCCCGGCCCCCAAAGGAGCUCACACAGGUCUUUCACUAACUACUCAUGGUGCCCGACCCUAUAAGGGCUCUCACAGGACUCAUCCAAGGUAAAUGCCCGGCCCCAAAGGAGCUCACACAGGACAUACAAUAAUGACAGACUUAUGGGCUAUUGAGAUCGCCUCGGUCCAAUCCACAUAUACAAGUAAUAAUGCAAUGCAUCAACUUGGUGAAUACUAAUGCAAAGCAUCCUACAUAAGCAUGGCAUUAAUGAUGCAUGACUCAUGCUAAAACAGUUC